rnacentral:rRNA from 1 species
UACGUAGGGUCCGAGCGUUGUCCGGAAUUACUGGGCGUAAAGAGCUCGUAGGUGGUUUGUCGCGUUGUUCGUGAAAACUCACAGCUCAACUGUGGGCGUGCGGGCGAUACGGGCAGACUAGAGUACUGCAGGGGAGACUGGAAUUCCUGGUGUAGCGGUGGAAUGCGCAGAUAUCAGGAGGAACACCGGUGGCGAAGGCGGGUCUCUGGGCCAGUACUGACGCUGAGGAGCGAAAGCGUGGGGGAGCGAACAGG